ensembl:lncRNA
GAGGAUACCCCCCAGGCUCAGGGGAACAUACUGGCAGAUGGACCGCUAAACAAGCAGCCGAGGGCUUGGGGGUGACAAGUGAGUCCCCUAUUAAAGUUCUCAUGUUGGUGGAGCUGCCUGAGCUAACGCUGGAGUCUCCAAAAUACAGCGAAGCCUAAAACCAACUAGCCAAAGCGGAAGGGGCCAUCAAAAUUGAAAAGGGAUUGUGGGAAUUGCCAAGUGGCAAAUUAUUGGUACCGGAGGAGCUGGUACCCACUCUGGUCAAUGCUGCCUCUCAGCACAGACAAAAACCUCUGGGGAUUCAGCUGAAAGGCACGCUGCCCUUUGAACACCUGGGAGUGGACUUCACUGAAAUGAAACCUCACCAACACUACUGUUACCUGCUGGUCAUGGUAUGUACGUUUUAGGGAUGGGUAGAAGCUUUUCCUACCCGGACUGAAAGAGCAUCAGAAGUAGCCCUGUGCCUGCUUAGGGAAAUAGUUCCCAGAUUUGGAUUUCCUUCCAGCACUGGAUCAGACAAUGGUCCGGAUUUCGUAGCUGAUAUAGUACAAGAAGUAAGCAAAACUUUAAGCAUCAAACGGAAACUGCACACAGAGUUCUGGGGUGGUGGCACGGACCAACCGGACACUUACAGAGGCACUCUCCAAGUGGAUCAUAGAGACUGACUGCUCCUGGGUGGACUUGCUUCCGACGGCGCUGCUCAGACUCAGGAUGACCCCGCAGUCCCAAGGCUGUUCUCCGCACGAAAUUGCUUAAAGUUGCAGGUACUGCCCCUUGGAUCCAUCAUACGAGGGUGAAGUGAACAUACCACACAGACCCAGAAAAUGCUGAGUGGACUGCACAGAGGGACCCCGCUGACCGUCGAGAGACCAAGAUCAUCUAUAAGAAGAAGGAAAGAAGAUCCCGGACGAGCCCCUUGAGGAUGAAGCCACAUGAUCAACUCCUGCUGCUUGGUCUCAUCAACGUGCACAUUCCUACGUGGACUUCCACAAUACCUCCAACUGUUGGGUACGCGGGGCUAUGCUUCUUCCUGUGAUGGAUGGAGUUCCCUGGUGGGUGUCACCACUCUGCCAAGGAAAUUUUAAACCACUCUGCAUUUUCUGGGACAACAAAAAGAGACUUUGCUUUCUCUUGUCAAUCAUAAUCUCUCCCUGCUCUCUUGGUUUUAGCCAGACCUAACAGUCAAUAGACUCAGGUCACGGGGUCACUCACAUAUUGUGUAAACACCAGUUCAUAAAAGUAACAGAAGCGGUAAUUCAAAUAAAAUGGUUUUGCACAUGCUCACAACUGCUCAAGGAGGGACCUGUGCUAUAGUUAAGGUCGAAUGCUGUGUAUACAUUCCUGAUUCAUCUGGCAAUGUAUCAGCUGCUUUCGACAUCAUGAAAAACCAGGUUUGUCAAAUGAAAACAUUCCUUUCUGGACUUUGGUACUAUCUUGGGUGAAGGGUGACUGGUGAAAAACUAUAUUUACCACUGUAAUAGUUGCCUUGAUAGUUCUACUCUGUGGACCCUGCAUUUUACAAUGUAUUAUGAACUUUGUAAACCAAAGGUUGGGGUCGUUCUCCCAAAUUGGCAGUCGGAGAGCCAGGGUGCAAUAUAUCCUUAUGAAUUCUGCUCAUACUAUGAGUUAAGAGCAUCAAGAGGGGGGAAUGAAGGAAGAUACAGAACAGGCUCUAUCUUGAAAGCAGGACUCCAUCUUGGGUCGGACUGUGGACUCUGAGCUGUAUGCCCACUAUCUAUGGAAACGACAUACCAACUGGAAAACCAGGCCCCCUGGAUGGAAGAGCCCCAGGGCUCUCCAUCACCUAAAAGAAUACUCUAAUUAUCUGUGUAACCGAAUAGAAUCAUACAUUCCAUUAUGCUUUAUUGGUAUGACCACAAGCCUAUUGAUAAUUGUCCACUGUUAACUACAUAGGCUUAAGGCAUAUGAAUUACGGGUUAACUUUGAUUGUAUCUUUCUUUUUCCUUUGUUCAGACUAGUUUCAGGGAAUUUAGGGAGGUGGGUUUGGGCACAUAUGCUUAGGGUAUAAGGUUUUCA